ACCCAAUAGAUACCCGGGUAGUCCACGCCGUAAACGAUGGAUGCUAGCUGUGUGGAGUAUCGACCCUCUGCGUAGCAAAAAGCUAACGCGUUAAGCAUCCCACCUGUGGAGUACGAGCGCAAGCUUAAAACAUAAAGGAAUUGACGGGGACCCGCACAAGCGGUGGAGCGUGUUGUUUAAUUCGAUGAUAAGCGAAGAACCUUACCCAGGUUUGACAUCCUGCUAAUCUUUCCGAAAGGAGAGAGUGCCUUCGGGCCGCAGUGACAGGUGCUGCAUGGCCGUCGAAAGCUCGUGUCGUGAGAUGUUUGGUUUAGUCCAUCAACGAGCGCAACCCCUGUAGUUAGUUGGAUUUUUCUAGCUAGACUGCCUCGGUAACGGGGAGGAAGGAGGGGAAGACGUCAGGUCAGUAUUGCCCUUACACCUGGGGCUACAAACACGCUACAAUGGCCGGUACAAGGGCUGCCAACCCGCAAGGGGAGCAAUCCCAUCAAAGCCGGUCUCAGUUCGGAUUGCAGGCUGAAACUCGCCUGCAUGAAG
rnacentral:rRNA from 1 species